rnacentral:lncRNA from 1 species
GGCAUUCAAAGGCUGAAGGGCCACCUGACACUCCAGAGGCUGCUGGAAAUGCAGGGCUGUUUCAUCCUGGGUAUUUUCCAGACAGAAGUACUGAGCAGCUUAAAGUAUUUGAAUGGGAAGAGGAGAAGCAAACUACAGCUACUUCAGAGGAUAACACUAAACACCUAGUCCACUCUGUAUACACUAGAGGUGCUGUUAAUUUUCUUGUGGAGAAGGAACUGUCUUUAGAAAAAUAUCUCAAAAAGCCACUGAAGUAGAAAUUUCCAGCAUGCUGAAGAUGGAACUUGAGAAGAUAGAAAGCUCUGGGUCCUUAGUGGCAUCACUGAGUUGCUGGACCACUGUUGGAACCACCCUAUGUCUUAGUUUUUAAAUCUCUUUACUGUCUAAGACAUUUUUAGUGGAACUAUUGAUCUCUAGCAUCCAAUAAGACCUUGCAGGAUUUGCAGUUUUA